UAAGGACCCUGCCUGAGGCCCAGAGGUCAGGGGGAGAAGUGGACCCUCGCAAAGGAUCAGGAGAGGUGUUCUCUCUGGACAGCUGGUGCCAGUUUAAGCAUCUCAGUCCAGUUCUUCACCUUGGCUUUACCUUGAUGUUGACCUGUGAAGAAAGGGCCUGAACCGCAACUUGAAGAUGACACUCAGCUCUGCAUUUUGCCAUUUUUUCCUUAAGCGAAGUAAUAAAUAAAGGAACAUACGCAAGAGCUUGAAAGCCUUCACUCUAGAAGUUAAAUGAAAAACGGAUUGUGGAUUAUAGCCUAAGAGGGUCUGAGCCUGAAUUUCAUACAACAACUUGUGGCAAGUGGAGGUAGCAGGAAAGUAGAGAGCCAAGUAGCCGAAAGUCCUCUGGAGAGGUAAGGCUGUGAGGCCUUUGACUGUAUGGAUAUUUUUGAAAUGCAGCGGAACUCGGAGCUCGGUUUGAGGGCACGCAUAGCUGAGUUGCUUCUAUUUGUAUAAUGAGGUGCUACUUGCUUGCGUUCCAGAGGUCUACAGCCUUUUCCCUGCCGCCUCAUACAACUGGUUUCCGGGGAACUAAGCAGCUAAACGCAGCAGCCAGCACUGGCUUCAGAGCCAGACUUUUAAGGACACUGUCCAAACAGUUCUUUUCCCCCUGUUGUUUUUUUUCCUACCUGAUAAAACACAUCUUGUCUACCUUAUUAUCUUAGCUAUAUGGGUGCCAGAGUUUGAAAAUGGCCUAGCUCUCUGGGUGGAACUUAUUGAAAGGGCAGCUAUGAAGUAAAGAUUUGUUGCUGAAGUGUUGUGGACUGGAACCUAGAAUCAGAAAAAUAGUGAAAAGGCAAGGAGAGAGGGAAAGGGGACAGGCAAUACACAAGUUUUCUAUUCAUUGAAUAUUCAGAUGAGAACUGUUCCCUAUGACAAGAUAAGGUUUUGGCAAAGGAGGGUGAAUAUUAGCAGAAAACAGGGGCCUUUAAGGGGCCUUCAUGUUUCUGAUACGUUUCUUAUACCCAAAUGUCCCAUGUAGGUAAACAUUUUAUUGAUAACUCUUGAAACUACUUGCAUAUUUAUAUAUUUGCUCUUCAAGAGAGGAAAGUUUACCAUAAAGCUAAUCAAGCUCGGCUCUUUAUUUGUAAGGACCCCUUCCAAGUUCCUCCAGGGAGAAAAGCUAGAAAAUCCGUAUGCAUAAUUUUGUAUCUUAUUUUCUUAAGGAGUCCUGUCCUCCCCCAAAUGAAUAAAGUCCAUGCCCGUAGAAACUGGAUCUUCUCCUGCUCAUGAGAAGGAGGUAGAAAGGACUUUUUGGUUUCCAGAAAAUAAAUGAUGUCUUGACAGUUUUGGUAGGAGAAAGGAUAUGGAUAGGUGGACUUAAAUCGCUGUCUUUAACUUAACGUGAUUACUCAAUGAGAAACCCAGAGACAUGGAUGGAGAAAUGUAGAAAGAACCAGGGGAUUAUCAUGAGAUUAGGAGCAUGUUCAAUUAUACCAUCACUGAACAAUAACAGAUAAAAAUAUAAUGGGAGCUUAUAAAAGCUAGUUUUGGUUGUAACUUCAGACUGUGAACUCCUUGAGGGCAGGCUGAAUAAAUGCUCAACUUCAAUUUGAAGAGCAGUGGUCUCCAACAUCAAUCUUUAAAACAAGGCAUAGUGGCUCAUUUAAAUAACUUGGGUCCUUAAUUAACUAAAAGAGAGCAAAGUUUUAAUUGCUUCAAGCCAAGUGAUAUAUUUCCUGACAUACACAGUAUAAUAAAGUAAGAAUACAGAUUUUAGGUAAAACACACAUAUAGUCAGGUCUAUCCUGUGCUCAAACACUUGGAUAACAUAUUUAUCAUCUAAAGUCCACAUCCUUACUAUGAUAUUAGUCUGUAACAUAACUUUUUAGUUUGAUCUCCUACCACCCAGAGCUCCUAUGAUAUGAUUUCUUCUCAUCAGAACACACAGCAGCCCCAAGUAUUCUGACCUGCUUUCACACUGAUUCCUGAGGUUGAAUGCCUUUACUUACAGUAAACCCAUAAUGAAAAUGUGUUACUGUAUUACUUCCUCUAUGAAGAAAAAUUAGAACUUGCUCGAAGAGAGUGUGAAGGAUUUGCUCCUAUACCGAGCAUAGUUCUUUAUGCUUGUUUCAGGAAAGAGUCCUAUACGCUAUGCUAUAAAUGUUUUUGAAUCUAGCCCCUGCUUUUUUCUCCAAUUUCAUCUGUUGCCAUCUUUGUCUGUGGUUCUUGAAGCUCUGGUCCUGCCUCAGGGCUUCACACAUUGUUUUGAACAUCUGGACUGUUCCUUUUAUCUCAUCUACCUUAACUUCCUUCCCCUGGCUAAUUUAUGCUGAUCUUUUGGGUCUAAUCUCAGGAGUCAUCUCCUUGGGGACCAUCUCUCACCUAAACUCCUCACCCUCCUCCAUAGUGUGCAUUGUUCCUUGUAUAUGCUCUUAUAGUACUUAAUGGUUACGACACAAUAGCAUUGAUUACAUUUUUUAGAAAUUUGCUCUUUACUUAUUUGUAUCCCUUCAUUAGGCCUCCUCAAGGGCAUGGUGUCUUAUUUACUGUGGUAUCCCUGGGAAAAGUAUAGUGCUCAGCACAAAUAUUUAUUGAAUAUAUACAUUUAAGUCAUCUAUAAACAACUAGUUAUGAGAGUAUUAGAUAUACAAAAUUAUGUUUUGCUUAUACAACCUUGAGUUCAUGAAAAGCCCACUAAAGUGGAGAACUGUUACUCUAGCACUUACACUGUCAAUAGUAUAAGUUGGAUGUCAAGGAAAUUCUGAUACAAAGUGUAGGCACAUAUCCUUCUAUCUCUCCUGUGGAAUAAAAAAGCUGUCUCCUGCUGUUACAACUCUUACAGUAAUACGUUAAUAUCACAGUGGGGAGCAUGUCUUAAAAGAAUCAGAAAUUGGUCCAAGGACACAGGGAAAAUCUCUACUGAAAAUCAUUUAAGGUUUUGUACAGAAAAGCUUUUAAGAAAUCACCUAAAUGAAAAAAUAAUGGUUUUUUUUUUUUUUUUAGCUAUAUAAGUUCAAGAGCUACAUUCUACAUGAAAAUGAAAAAUAACAGCAGAAGACUGGCACUGUAGUCUUUCUUUUUUUUUUUUUUAAGAAAACCUGGGUGCAUUCUGCUGUUCAUAUCCUAUUUUAUAGUGAUAUAGACCCCAGAAAAUUUAUUUUUAUUUUAUAUAUACGUGUGUAUGUAUACAUUUAGGAAAUAUAUGUAAUAAAUUUGCUUAACCAGGCAUUGACAUGCAA